UACGUAGGGGGCAAGCGUUGUCCGGAUUUAUUGGGCGUAAAGCGCGCGUAGGCGGCAAGGUAUGUCGUGCGUGAAAUCUCCCGGCUUAACUGGGAGGGGCCGUGCGAAACUGCCUUGGCUUGAGGUCGGAAGGGGAAAGUGGAAUUCCGGGUGUAGUGGUGGAAUACGUAGAUAUCCGGAGGAACACCAGCGGCGAAGGCGGCUUUCUGGUCCGAUUCUGACGCUGAGG
rnacentral:rRNA from 1 species